rnacentral:snoRNA from 1 species
AAAUCGUGAUGAGAAAGAGAUCUGGAGCGCGUAGAGACACGUAGAGCACGCUCCGUCGGCUCCGCGCCGUGACUAAACACUUUGAUCGCUGACUUUUU